rnacentral:rRNA from 1 species
CCUACGGGAGGCAGCAGUGAGGAAUAUUGGUCAAUGGACGCGAGUCUGAACCAGCCAAGUAGCGUGAAGGAUGACUGCCCUAUGGGUUGUAAACUUCUUUUAUAUGGGAAUAAAAUGAUCCACGUGUGGCAUUUUGUAUGUACCAUAUGAAUAAGGAUCGGCUAAAUCCGUGCCAGCAGCCGCGGUAAUACGGAGGAUCCGAGCGUUCUCCGGAUUUAUUGGGUUUAAAGGGAGCGUAGGUGGAUUGUUAAGUCAGUUGUGAAAGUUUGCGGCUCAACCGUAAACGUGCAGUUGAAACUGGCAGUCUUGAGUACAGUAGAGGUGGGCGGAAUGCGUGGUGUAGUGGUGAAAUGCUUAGAUAUCACGAAGAACUCCGAUUGCGAAGGCAGUUCACUGGACUGCAACUGACACGGAGGCUCGAAAGUGUGGGUAUCAAACAGGAUUAGAUACCCUAGUAGUC